UAUUCCAGCUCUUUUCUACAAUGGAAGAAUAAACAAUUCUCUGAGUAAGGGUGUGCUGCAAAUUUGUCCCUUCACUUAACUUCCCCUAGAAGAGAGGGAAGAGAACCCUUCUGUGGUAGAGCAUAUGAAGUCUGUCUGGAAGUCCCCGUUUUUGCAGACUGAUGAUGCUGAUACCUCCAGAACAUGAUGGUUAUUGAUUUUCCAUCUUGUAUCUCAGAAGAAACCACAUAGGUCUAAUGUACCUGUACUUCUCUGCCCCCAGCAGCACAGAUGGCAGCAUUGUGCUCACACUGUGUUCUUGGAUCGUGUGGAGGAAAAGCUUUGCCAGCUGCAUCAGGCAGGUAGAGAUGCAAGAACUCCAGUCUAAGCAGCAAGAAUAAAGCAGUGUGAUAUGGACUCCACGUCAUUAUCCACAAUGACCUACCAAUUUCUCGGUCCCAAGAAAUGUGUUCAUCUGAAUGUGCUACGGAAGACUAGUGGUCCUGAGAUGUGUCUUGCGUCUAUCCUGUGAGUCAGGAAUGAGCUCUUUGAGAGACCUGACACACUUGUAACAAAGGAGGCCUAGGUCCUUCAAACAGUACAAAACCUGGCACAGACGACAACAGCCUUUAUCAAUGAUGUUCAAAUGUUUUAGCAAAUAUCUGUUUCUUAGUGUAAAUACCAGCAUGGAACAAAAACAUAGUAAAUGCACUUUGUCUGGUUUAUUAGUAUUUGUUCUCUUCUCCUUAGGUCCGGAUUUUUGAAAUAACAUGGAAAUUAACAUUAUUACCUCUUUCUACUUAACAAAUUCCUCCCUAUAUAGAUUUCUCUCUAUUGCUAAAAAUUACUUACCAAUGCUUCCAAUUAAUUAAUUUUUUUUCUCUAACCAGUCCCUCAGCCAUCUGUAAGUAAAAGAAAUGGCACAGCCCAUCACACCUGGUAACUAGAGGUGCUGAAUGCCAUCAUGAGCUUACUUUGGAAACUCCCUGUCCUCUGCACUCAAGAACUGGUGAUUAGCAGACUAUGCCAAAAUAGAAACAGCUGCUUUGCUCUUGA